CCCUUUAGCAAUAGGAUCAUGCGAGAGCCACUCUCCGCCGACUUCAAAAUGCCACAGUUGAAAAGCUACGACAGAUCAACCAACCUAAUAGAUCAUUAAAGGGAAAAAAUAUUGUUUCUCUUCGGAUAGUCUAGGUUACAUUUAAAAUUUUUUUAUUAAUCUACAUGAAUAAAGAUCAAAUCCUUACUUGAUUAGCAGCGAAAUCAGAAAUCAAAUCUCUAAAAAUCUGAAAUAAACCUUCAUAGAGGUUUGGAAGUAUAGACCCUCUACUUCACAUACAUGCC
rnacentral:lncRNA from 1 species